rnacentral:RNase_P_RNA from 1 species
UGAGCGAACUAAACGGUAGCUUGCGGAAACGCAAGAGGAAAGUCCGGGUAUCACAGAGCAGGAUAGCUGUUAACGGCAGCCGGGGGCGACCUUAGGGCUAGUGCAACAGAGAUAUACCGCUUAAUUUCUUUAAGUAAGGGUGGAAAGGUAAGGUAAGAGCUUACCAGAGUGCGGGAGACCGCACUGCUAUGUAAACCCUAUCCGAUACAACGCCUAUUGGUGCGCUGCGUCUUAACGCUUGCUCGGCGGACGUAACGUAACGGCGGCUUUACCCGUGUGGCGACAUGCGAAAAUACGCUUACUGUAACGCGUAUUUUAGACCGGCGUUCCCGGUCUGGAUAGUUAAAUUACCGUUCCCGACAGAACCCGGCUUAUCGGUUCGGUCACCGU